AUGGAGGUUCAACAGCUAAGGGUUACAACUGAGCAACAAACCGCAGAAUUAUUGGAACUUGAAAAACAAAUAAAGAACAUUGUCUAUUGGAAGAAAUUUUGGAAGUUGUUUUUUUCUUCUUCUUUUCAUUGUAUCCUUUUUUAUGAUGUUUUAAUUUUGGAACAUGUUUCAAUUAUGUAUAAGUGUUAUGAAUUCUCUUGUAAUGGUUCAGUUUGUAACAUGUUGUGCCAUUUUGUAUUAGUUCCUAUUAGUUGUUAA